rnacentral:tRNA from 1 species
GCUCUCGUGGCCCAGUUGGUUAGUGCGUCGUACUUAUAAGCAGUGCAGGAGUAUAUGCGAAGGUCGAGGGUUUGAUCCUCCCCGGGAGCA